CUGGCGGCGUGCUUACACAUGCAAGUCGAACGAACCUUCGGGUUAGUGGCGGACGGGUGAGUAACGCGUGAGAAUCUGCCCUCAGGAGGGGGACAACAGCUGGAAACGGCUGCUAAUACCCCAUAUGCCGCGAGGUGAAAUGAAUUUCGCCUGAGGAUGAGCUCGCGUCUGAUUAGCUAGUUGGUGUAGGUAAUGGCUCACCAAGGCAUCGAUCAGUAGCUGGUCUGAGAGGAUGAUCAGCCACACUGGGACUGAGACACGGCCCAGACUCCUACGGGAGGCAGCAGUGGGGAAUUUUCCGCAAUGGGCGAAAGCCUGACGGAGCAACGCCGCGUGAGGGAUGAAGGCCUCUGGGCUGUAAACCUCUUUUAUCAAGGAAGAAGAUCUGACGGUACUUGAUGAAUAAGCCACGGCUAAUUCCGUGCCAGCAGCCGCGGUAAUACGGGAGUGGCAAGCGUUAUCCGGAAUUAUUGGGCGUAAAGCGUCCGCAGGCGGCCCUUCAAGUCUGCUG
rnacentral:rRNA from 1 species